UAAUAAAGGAAUCUUUAUUCAUUUUUGGGGUAUGAACCCAACAGCUUACUUUUUAGCUUACUUUAUU
rnacentral:tRNA from 1 species